GAUGAAGAACGUAGCGAAAUGCGAUAAGUAAUGUGAAUUGCAGAAUUCAGUGAAUCAUCGAAUCUUUGAACGCACCUUGCGCUCCUUGGUAUUCCGAGGAGCAUGCCUGUUUGAGUGUCAUGAAAUUCUCAACCUUUUCUAGCUUUUGCAAGCUAGAUUAGACUUGGAUUAUGGAAGUUGCUGGCUUUCUGAAGUCAACUCUUCUAAAAUAUAUUAGCAAAAUUAUCGCUACUCAACAUUGGUAUGAUAAUUAUCUAUACCAUUAUGAGCUAGUUUCCUUUAUGGAGAAUUUUGCUUCUAAUUGUCUACAAGACAAUAUUUGACAAUUUUGACCUCAAAUCAGGUAGGACUACCCGCUGAACUUAAGCAUAUCAAUAAGCGGAGGAA
rnacentral:misc_RNA from 1 species